rfam:Ictidomys tridecemlineatus contig051790, whole genome shotgun sequence.
GGGGAUAUAUCUCAGUUGGUAGAGUUCUUGCCUCACAUGCACAAGGUCCUGGCUUUAAUUCCCAGCAUCACCA